AGUGGCCUACGGGGCGCAGCAGUGGGGAAUAUUGCACAAUGGGGGAAACCCUGAUGUAGCGACGCCGCGUGAGUGAAGAAGUAUUUCGGUAUGUAAAGCUCUAUCAGCAGGGAAGAAGUUGACGGUACCUGAGUAAGAAGCCACGGCUAACUACGUGCCAGCAGCCGCGGUAAUACGUAGGUGGCAAGCGUUAUCCGGAUUUACUGGGUGUAAAGGGCGUGUAGGCGGGGACGCAAGUCAGAUGUGAAAACCACGGGCUCAAACUGUGGCCUGCAUUUGAAACUGUGUUUCUUGAGUA
rnacentral:rRNA from 1 species